UGCGUGUGUCUUCGCGAGGCGAAGAGAAUCCUACAGAACGCUGGGUCAAAGUGCCGCCUCCAAACCCGCGGGGCGCGGUGGGGAAUGCGGCACGUUGGAGCGGGGUGGUCGCAUUACUACCUAAGCCGACGGGCUGCUAGGCUGGUUGACAAGAGGCAACAAUGCAGCAGGGCAACGGGACCCUGGGAUGCGAGCUGGGGCCCCAUCGGGAGAGAUUCCACGCGAGAAGUGGGAUAAACAUCUCUCUGGGAGGGGAAGGAGGCUGAGGCCGCGGGGGAGCCCCAGUGGGAGUCGCGGAGGGCAACAGCCGGGCCCAUCCCCCUGUCCUCUUCCCUCCCGCUCCUACCUGUUGCAUGAGCCCUCCAGGCGCUCCUCCAGCCCCAGCGGAUCCCACUCUCGCCCUCGGCCCCCAGGAGCCGCCGCGGCCCGGAGCUGAGCUCCGCCCCGGCCCGAGUCGCCGCCCUCCCCAAGCCUGCUGUGCUCUGAGCGCCCCCUUCCCGCCAGCGAGCGCAGCUGGGGCCUGAAUUCAGCUCCUUCUUCGCUCGCCUUUUCCCACGCGGCCGAUGACUCAGUCGGUGCUCCCCUUCCGAGGGUCAAGCCGUCGCUCAGGAAACUUAACUACAGAGGGAGAGGCUUCAACGCUGGAAAGGGAAAGCCCGGAUGCCAGCACAAGGAUACUUGGAAGAGAGCCAGCACAAGGAUACUUUGGCUCUUCGAGGGUUUAGAAAUGGGCAAGGCUUUUUGUGUCAUCUGUUGCUCGGCCAUUGAAAUGCAUGCUCCUCUUCUGAAAGCCUCAAGAGACAAGGGAAAGGCAAGUGCAGAACAGAACAACUUCAAACAGUUCUGAUCGAACCACAACUACAGCAAAAGACUUCUAUUCAGAAAGACUCACCCUUCCUAGGGCAAAGAAGAAAAUGCUGCCUGGAAAAUAGGAGAGAAAUAGCUCUCUCAAAGCUACUUUGCUCGGACAGGUGCUUUAAAAAAAUUGAUUAUUCAGGAUGAUGGGAUCUUAGUGAAAUGCUAAGCAAGAUAGCCUUUCACAAAGGAACUGAAGAAAAAGAGACCUAUUCGAAUGAUCAGACAAGCACAGAAAAAUGUGGUGGUCAGUGCAGGCUUGUCACCCACUACAUGACAUGAGCCCCGUUUUGUGGUUUCCAAGAUAGCUGGGCUUUUGUGAAGCCCACUCUAACCACUAUUUAAAUGUUAUGUUUCCAUGACGUAUAUGCAUACCAGCAAGUCCAAUGCUGUUUCAGCUGCCAGUGUGGCCCCUUCCUCUGUGCUGCAAGUGGGCUAGCUAGCAUUUUUUGUUUUUAAAUAAGCAGAUGUACAUUUUAUUUGUUUAUAUAUUCAUCCUUCCUUAAAACAAAAAACAAACAUUCUGAAAACAAAAGCAAAAGUGCUCUGUGUUUUGGGAGAGGAAAAGUAGUGGUAUCUGUAUGGAUAAUAGCCAUUCAGCACAAACAGCUUUUCCCCAUUCAAACUACCCUGAACAAUUCCAGGGAUGGGUUUAUUCAGAACUCUCUCCAAAGAGGAAAUGGUCUGUCUAGACUGAAAGUGGUUAGGGUGCUUCCAACCUGCACCACAGUUCUACAAAUGUUAUAACCUAUCUAUACUUCAGAUGUAGGAACUCAUGGCCCAUCAUUCAGCUUAAGCAAUUCCAAUGGCUAAUAUGCUUCUCAAGCUAGUCCUAAACAUAUUUGCUUGGAAGUUGAUCAAUAGAACUUACUCAUCAUUUGCUGGUCAAUGACCGAAUAAACUUAUAACUAACUUACUCAUCAAUAUGUAUGCUUAGGACUGCCACUCCAGUGCAUUGUACAGGAAAUGGAAGGCUCAAGGGUGGGGACCAGGAGGUGCCCUACUAGGGACUUCAACAGUUAGCUGCCAUUAUAGCUUAAGACAAUAAAAGAUGUCCAGGGAGCACUUUUUGUUAAUCACUAUUUUGGAAAGCCUGGCACAAAGUACAAAACAAGCAAGAGUAGGGAGUGGCCUCUAGGUAACAUCCAAACUGAGCAAAAGAGUAAGAACAUAAUCUCCAUCCAUUAAUAGGAUGAUAUACUGCACAACGUUAUACAUGCAGUGGAAUGUAAUAUUCAUGCAGUUUCUCAAAAGCACUGUUGUGCAAGUGCAAAAUUGUGCAAA